rnacentral:rRNA from 1 species
AGAACGAACGCUGGCGGCAGGCCUAACACAUGCAAGUCGAACGCCGUAGCAAUACGGAGUGGCAGACGGGUGCGUAACGCGUGGGAACAUACCCUUUGGUUCGGAAUAACUCAGGGAAACUUGAGCUAAUACCGGAUAAGCCCUUACGGGGAAAGAUUUAUCGCCGAAGGAUUGGCCCGCGUCUGAUUAGCUAGUUGGUGAGGUAAUGGCUCACCAAGGCGACGAUCAGUAGCUGGUCUGAGAGGAUGAUCAGCCACACUGGGACUGAGACACGGCCCAGACUCCUACGGGAGGCAGCAGUGGGGAAUAUUGGACAAUGGGCGAAAGCCUGAUCCAGCCAUGCCGCGUGAGUGAUGAAGGCCUUAGGGUUGUAAAGCUCUUUUACCCGGGAAGAUAAUGACUGUACCGGGAGAAUAAGCCCGGCUAACUUCGCGCCAGCAGCCGC